GAGUUUGAUCAUGGCUCAGGAUGAACGCUAGCGGCAGGCUUAAUACAUGCAAGUCGAGGGGCAGCAGCUUUAUAGCAAUAUAGAGGCUGGCGACCGGCAAACGGGUGCGGAACACGUACACAACCUUCCUUGAAUAGGGGGAUAGCCCAUAGAAAUGUGGAUUAAUACCCCGUAAUAUAGCGGUGUGGCAUCACACUGUUAUUAUAGUUUCGGCGAUUCGAGAUGGGUGUGCGGCUGAUUAGGUAGUUGGCGGGGUAAAGGCCCACCAAGCCUUCGAUCAGUAGCUGAUGUGAGAGCAUGAUCAGCCACACGGGCACUGAGACACGGGCCCGACUCCUACGGGAGGCAGCAGUAAGGAAUAUUGGUCAAUGGACGCAAGUCUGAACCAGCCAUGCCGCGUGAAGGAUGAAGGUCCUCUGGAUUGUAAACUUCUUUUAUAGGGGGCGAAAAAAGGUCUUUCUAGAUCACUGACAGUACCC
rnacentral:rRNA from 1 species